AGCGAACGCUGGCGGCAGGCCUAACACAUGCAAGUCGAACGGAUCCUUCGGGAUUAGUGGCGGACGGGUGAGUAACACGUGGGAACGUGCCCUUUGGUUCGGAACAACUCAGGGAAACUUGAGCUAAUACCGGAUGUGCCCUUCGGGGGAAAGAUUUAUCGCCAUUGGAGCGGCCCGCGUCUGAUUAGCUAGUUGGUGGGGUAAAGGCCCACCAAGGCGACGAUCAGUAGCUGGUCUGAGAGGAUGAUCAGCCACAUUGGGACUGAGACACGGCCCAA
rnacentral:rRNA from 1 species